GACGUAGGGCGCGAGCGUUGUCCGGAUUUAUUGGGCGUAAAGAGCUCGUAGGCGGCUUGUCGCGUCGACUGUGAAAUCCCGCGGCUCAACUGCGGGUCUGCAGUCGAUACGGGCAGGCUAGAGUUCGGUAGGGGAGACUGGAAUUCCUGGUGUAGCGGUGAAAUGCGCAGAUAUCAGGAGGAACACCGGUGGCGAAGGCGGGUCUCUGGGCCACUACUGACGCUGAGAAGCGAAAGCAUGGGGAGCGAACAGG
rnacentral:rRNA from 1 species